UGGGAAUUUGGACGAAUUGGGCGAAAGCCUGAUCCAGCAAUGCCGCGUGAGGGAUGACGGCCUUCGGGUUGUAAACCUCUUUCAGCAGGGAAGAAGCGAAAGUGACGGUACCUGCAGAAGAAGCGCCGGCUAACUACGUGCCAGCAGCCGCGGUAAUACGUAGGGCGCAAGCGUUGUCCGGAAUUAUUGGGCGUAAAGAGCUCGUAGGCGGUUAGUCGCGUCUGCUGUGAAAACUCGAGGCUCAACCUCGGGCUUGCAGUGGGUACGGGCUGACUAGAGUGCGGUAGGGGUGACUGGAAUUCCUGGUGUAGCGGUGGAAUGCGCAGAUAUCAGGAGGAACACCGAUGGCGAAGGCAGGUCACUGGGCCGCAACUGACGCUGAGGAGCGAAAGCAUGGGGAGCGAACAGGAUUAGAUACCCUGGUAGUCCAUGCCGUAAACGUUGGGCACUAGGUGUGGGGUCCAUUCCACGGAUUCCCGUGCCGCAGCAAACGCAUUAAGUGCCCCGCCUGGGGAGUCGGCCGCAAGGCUAAAACUCAAAUGAAUUGACGGGGUCAU
rnacentral:rRNA from 1 species